rnacentral:rRNA from 1 species
UACGUAGGGUGCAAGCGUUAAUCGCAAUUACUGGGCGUAAAGCGUGCGCAGGCGGUUUUGUAAGUCUGUCGUGAAAUCCCCGGGCUCAACCUGGGAAUAGCGAUGGAGACUGCAAGGCUAGAGUUUGGCAGAGGGGGGUAGAAUUCCACGUGUAGCAGUGAAAUGCGUAGAUAUGUGGAGGAACACCGAUGGCGAAGGCAGCCCCCUGGGUCAAAACUGACGCUCAUGCACGAAAGCGUGGGGAGCAAACAGG